rnacentral:lncRNA from 1 species
GAGCUGCCGGAGCGUGCGCACUGGGCCAGCGGGCGGCCGGGGCAGGGCUGGGGUCCCGGCGCUGAGCGCCCCCAGCCGCGCCGGGCAGCCUGGCGCCUCGCUGAGUCGGAGCAACCCCCGGCAGGAGCUUUCAGGCUCUGGUCAAGCCUCGGGACCCGGGAAGCUAUCCCUGCCCUCGGGGGCUCGAGCCUGGAGUGGGGCUUGCAGAAAAGGAAAGGGGGCUGGCCUAAAGGCAAGAAGAGAAACCCCCCGAGGGACCUUGCUGUUCCGUGUUCCUACGACAGGGUACAUGAUAUUCCUGAAUGAGCAGAGAAGUCAGCUGAGGGCCACACACCCCGAUCUGCCUUUCACAGAAAUCAUGAAGAUGCUGGCUGUUCAGUGGGCCCAGCUGUCUCAGGAUAAAAAGGGGGAGAUGAACUCAAUGACCUCUACUGCGGGACCUCCAGGCAGCUCUUCAGCUCCCUGUGCAACAAGAAGGAACCUGCUGCAAAGGCAGCACCUGCAGCGCCUCUCAGGUAACCAGCCUGGGCCAGGCGGCUCAGCCGCAAACGCUGGCCUUGACUCCACCUGCGCCAGAGGUCACCAACAGGCGGCCCACGUGACACCUCUUGUUAUUAAAAUGCAAUUUUAAGACAGACUCUAGUCAAGCCCACUUACCACCAGGUGGGUGUUUAGGACAGGGUAGGUCUUCCACUAUAUCUGUUUUCCUCUUAGUUCGCCAGGCCCGCCUGCUCUGGGCCACGCAGGACACGGACGUCAGCUUCUCCUGGAGCGCUCGCUCACUUUAUUCCAUCUCUACGAGCUCCUCAAGUAUCCCAGAGCAUCCCCAGGCCUGUGGCCACCUCGGGUCUGGAUGCCGCAUUCUCUGACCUGUGGCACAUUCUGGGUGCCCAUGAUUAUGAUGAGGUUCUGUGCCCAUGUGGCCUCAGGGCUCUUGAGACCACCCUUCAACCAGGUCUUUGCUCACCUGUCUCCUGCCCAGGGACGCCACCCAGGUCACCGGUGCAAACCUCCAGCCCCUGCCCGUUUCUCUCCAUGAGUGCAUUGCCACCUCGCAGCCUCUUCCACUUGCUCAUUCCUGGUGUUAUUGCCUGUCUCCCACUGGAAGAGAAGGCCCUCAAGUUCAGCAACUGUUUUGCCUGUUUUGUUCACUGUGGUGAACCCCGGGCCUAGAACCACGCCUGGCACUCCCAGUAGGUGCUCAAUAAGUAUCCAAUGAGUGGACAAAUGAAUGGAUGUGUUCAACAAAUGACCCUAGAGCGUGUAUUCCUUCCAGGGACAGAGCGAGGUACUGGGGACACAGGAAGGACGAGGCAGAGCUCCGCGCUGACGAAACCAAGGGCCAAGCGUGCGAGUGAAUACGAACAUCCUGGCGUUAAAACGUCUUGCAUUCUAGUGAAAUGAGACCCAUUGGACACAGAGAAGCCCCACCACAAUUGCAUCUGUGUAAAAUCGAGAGAAAGAUCGUGAAAACAGCCAUGGCAGGGGAAUUUAAAAAAGAUCCUGCCACGUACUCAUAGCACCUGGAGCCUCUGGAGGAAGAGGAGGGACAAAUGAGGUCAAGUCAGAGGAGGAAGCUGAGGGCCCCGAGUCCCUUCUGCUCAGAUGUCCGCAUCCAGAGAGGAGUUCUGCUUCUCUCAACCUGUGUUUCUUGCAAGAGUUUAUCUAUAAAUUGCUGAAAAAUGGGUAAUCAAGUUCAGCAACUCCCUGGCAUCUGUGAUGACCUAUGGUUUGUAAUCCUAGUCAGAAUCACCUACAUAGAGGAUAUAAUAUUAAUCAGAACAAAACAGAAAAGUCGCUAGAGGAAUAACAAUAGUAAAAUUUACAAUCAGAUGAAGAAUAAAGUUUUCAAUGAGGCACAGUUCUAAGCACUUCAUACAAAUAACCUGUCUUAAUUCUCAUAAAAGUACUGCAAGGCAGGUGAUAAUAUCAUCUCCUUCUAAAGAUAAAAUGCAGCACAGAGAGGUUAAGUAACUUGUCCAAUGUUGAACAGCUAGUGAGUGGUCAAUCUGAGAUUUAAAUCCAGGCUGUCUGGGUCCAAGAACUCUGUUCUUCACUACUUCUCAACAACAUCAACUAUGUAAAAUGACACACAUACAUAAACCCACAUCAAUGGUAAUGGUGGUAAUCUCUGGCCGGCAAGAUGAAAGAAGAUGUUAUGCAAUUCUUCAGUCCUUUCUGUGUCUGCCACAUUUUCCCCAAUGGAUAGAUGUCACUUAAAUUAUCAGAGGAAGAAACAAACUCUAUUAAAAGGAAUUUCAAGGGCCGGGCAAGAUGGAUCACACCUGUAAUCCCAGCACUUUGGGAGGCCGAGGUGGGCGGAUCACCUGAGGUCAGCAGUUCGAGACCAGCCUGGCCAACAUGGCGAAACCCUGUCUCUACUAAACAUACAAAAAAAUUAGCCGGGCGUGGUGGCACAUGCCUGUAAUCCCAACUACUUGGGAGGCUGAGGCAGGAGAAUCACUUGAAUCUGGGAGGUGGAGGUUGCAGUGAGCCAAGAUCGCACCACUGCACUCAAGCCUGGGCGACAGAGCAAGGCUUCAUCUCAAAAAAAUAAAAUAAAAUAAAAUUAUUGUUUUAUUCUGCUUAUAAAAUUAGCAUAUUCAUUGAAGCUAGGCACAGUGGCUCCUGCCUGUAAUCGCAGCCCUUUGGGAGACCAGGGCGGGUAGAUCACUUGAGGCCAGGAGUUCGAGACCAGCCUGGCCAACAUGGUGAAACCCCGUCUCUAAUGAAAAUACAAAAAUUAGCUGGGUUUGGUGGCAGGCACCUGUAAUCCCAGCUACUCAGGAGGCUGAGGCACGAGAAUCGCUUGAACCCAAGAGGCGGAUGUUGCAGUGAGCUGAGGUUGCACCACUGCACUCCAACCUGGGUGACAGAGCGAGACUCUGUCUCAAAAUAAAUAAAAUAAAAUAAACAUAUUAAUUGAAGAAAAUUUUGAAAUUUCAGAAAAGUAUAUGAAGAAAAUGUAAACACUAUCAGUAGAGAAGUGUUGUUAGCAUUUCAGUGCAGUGUUUCUAGUCUUAUUUUCUAUAAAUAUCUGAAUCUACCCGCCUAUUUCUCUAUCUCUCUACCUAAAUAUAUCUGCAUGUUAUUUGUAUAUCUGCAUAUUUAUCUUAUAUUUAUCUAAAUAAAUAUAUCUAACUAUAUCUCUAUAUAGAGAUAGAGAUAGAAAGAUGGAGAGAAAGAGAGAUAGAGAGAUGGACAUGAAGGUAAAAUCCGUCCUGCAGCUCCCAUUUGCAGAAGAGCGUGAGCAUUUUCACAUCUCCUUCAACGUUCUUUUAGGCAUCGCCCCUCCUGGCUGCAUAAUAUUUCAUCAUAUGCGUGAGCCGCACUGGCUGCCCAGUUCCUCACUGUGUCGUUGUUUGUUUGUUUGUUUGUUUUGAAACAGAGUCUCACUCUGUCGCCCAGGCUGGAGUACCGUGGCAUGAUCUUGGCUCACUGCAAACUCCGCCUCCUGAGUUCAAGUGAUUUCCGGCUAAUUUUUGUAUUUUUAGUCGGGAUGGGGUUUCACCACAUUAACCAGGCUGGUGUUGAACUUCUGACCUCAAGUGAUCCGCCCUCCUCGGCCUCCCAAAGUGCUAGGAUUACAGGCGUGAGCCACCGUGCCUGGCCAUUAUGACUGUACGUUUUGGUGACACCUGGUUCUUACGUUAGAAAUCAGGCUGCUGAACGUUCUGCUCUGUGUGUGUCUUUGUGCCCAUUCUUGUUGGCUUCCUUAGAGGGAUUUCUGGAAGUUCAAUGAUUAUGUAAAAAGCACAAGCCUUGCUGGGACCCUGGAGUGGCGUUGGAGUCUCUCGUGGUUAGGAGCCCAGGCCCUGGCCUGGCCAUCGGGGGCUGGAAUCCUGGCUGUGUCCUCCGUAGCCAUGUGCCCCAGGCAGCUUUCCUCACCGCCUGCCUGUCAUCCAGGGAUGCAGGUAGGUCCUGCUCCAUGGGGUUGUCAUGGCGAUCACAGAGACUUGUCCGUGUGGACCACCUAGAGCAGUACCUAGCAGGGCACCUGGCGCCCUGGGGUCACCUUGGAUCAGGGUUGCAGCUGACCCACUCCCAUCCCUCCCAAAGGCCCUUCAGCCCAGACUUUUGUGCACCCCAAAUUCCAUCAAAAUCCUUUUUCCUUUGAGAGUAACUUUAUUCAUUUCCCUGCAGCUUAUUAAAGAAUUCUGAAGAACA